UACGUAGGGGGCAAGCGUUGUCCGGAUUUAUUGGGCGUAAAGAGCUCGUAGGCGGUUUGUCGCGUCUGCUGUGAAAACCCGAGGCUCAACCUCGGGCCUGCAGUGGGUACGGGCAGACUAGAGUGGCGGUAGGGGAGAUUGGAAUUCCUGGUGUAGCGGUGGAAUGCGCAGAUAUCAGGAGGAACACCAAUGGCGAAGGCAGAUCUCUGGGCCGUAACUGACGCUGAGGAGCGAAAGCAUGGGGAGCGAACAGG
rnacentral:rRNA from 1 species